UCUCUCAUCUCUUCCAUUCUCUUAGUGUUUUUUUUUUAGUUGGGAAUUGAAAAUCGGAUGUUCAACAUAAAACUUCUCUUAAUUACUUAAAUACAUUUAUUAUUACACUUUUCAUUCCCUUAAUUUUAAUAAGUAGAAUUUUUUCAAUCAACCAAACUCACAUUAACACAGUUAAGUGUACUUAGGUUCUCCAUUUUAUGUUCUUGUAUUUUCUUAAUCGUGUUUAACUUGUUCUUGUGUUGCCAAAUUUAUCAAUGAAUAUGUAUACAUAUAUAUAACUCCAGAAUAUUUUUGAUAGAAUGCUCGCACUUAUAAAAAAAAUGAAUUAAACAAAGUAGACUCUCACGUUAUGUGAAGGAAAAAAAAAAGAUUUUUUAAUAUUAUUAUAAUCUUAAUAAAAUAUUAAAAAUUAACAAAAUAGUUUUUUACAAAUUAUAGUGCUGCCUUUUGGCAUGUUUUAGUCUCGCAUCGCAUGUCCCUUCAGUGCGAGUUUUCUCUACAAAUUCUUCUUUUUGUCUUUUCGUUUCUAAGUCCACAGCCAUGGAAUCAAAGAUCGCAGCUCUUCAUCUGGUUGGUGGCAAGGAGGCCCUCCUCUCGAGUCAGCUAUUGAUGCAUCUCAAUUUGUCUUCAAGGAAUUCAGUCUUGUUGGUCGACUGCUCACAGAUCGACAAGUCAAUUUUGGGGCUAUGCGAAACACGUUGUCGAGCAUUUGGAGACCUAGUUGCGGCAUUUUUAUGCAGGAAUUGGCAUCGAAGAUCUUACUGUUUCAGUUUUUUCAUUCUGUUGAUUUGAGGCGUGUUUUGGAUGGUGGACCUUGGACCUUCAACAAUGCGUUGUUAAUUUUACACCAUUUGCAGGUGGUUUUAAUGCAUAUUAUUUCACAAUAAUUACUAGGGGAUUGCAACAAUAUAUGCGUGCAAGGGAGUUGCUUGACAUUCGGAAGCCACUCAAAAGGACUUAAAAAGUGUUAAAUAAGGAUGGGCGUGUUGUUCAAGCUCUGUUUCGCUAUGAGAGGCUCCUACAUUCUGUUAUUUAUGUGGGUGUAUUGGUCAUUCGGAGCGGUACUGUGAGCAUCUUUUCUCCACCAAUAUAGCUCAUCUUCAACAUGGUUGGAGGACCGUAAUGGAGAGCAUGUGGUGGAUGGUUUCAACUUUCAACCUUAGUUACUCACUUGCCAGGAGAAGAUGACAUGGAAGGUGUUCAAACUUUAACCCGCCUGAAGGAUCAAAUUAUGGACCUCGAGAGAAUGAAAUUGGUUCAAAAGAUGUGUUCAUUGAGUUGGAAGAUAGCAAUAAAUCGCCUCUAAUUGAUUUUA